GGCCUCGACCAGGAGUAUCGUCGCCUACAUCUUCAACGGCCUCGACCAGGAGUACUAUCCCAUGGUCACAUCCAUGGUGACAAAUAAAGAACCAAUCACAGGCUCUGAAGUCUACUCGCAGCUGCUUAGCUUCGAGA